rnacentral:lncRNA from 1 species
CACUGUGUCCAGCCGAGACAAAUCAACAUCAGAAAGGCCUUAGCAGCUCUACUACAGUGGAAGACCUAUUGACUUAAUAUUGGUUAAUCAGGUCUUAGUGUUUGCAACUUGAGCCCUUCAUAAGAGGUAAUCGAACAAUUGGCCAGGUAAGCAGGUGGGAGGCUCCCCCUACUCAGAGAGUAAGGUCCUAAUUAAGUAACUACCUUUCAUGCUUUCCUAGACACCAAUUAGAUCAAUUAAUCUAAUAUGACUUGCUUAUGUCGGUUCACUCUCGACUUGAUUGAGGAGGUUUUGAUUUAGGUCUCAAUUG